UACGUAGGGGGCAAGCGUUGUCCGGAAUCAUUGGGCGUAAAGGGCGCGUAGGUGGGUUGGCCAGUCUAUGGUGAAAUCCUCCGGCUUAACCGGAGAACUGCCGUGGAUACUGCCAGUCUCGAGGAGGGUAGGGGCGUCUGGAACUAGCGGUGGAGCGGUGAAAUGCGUUGAUAUCGCUAGGAACUCCGGUGGCGAAGGCGAGACGCUGGACCCUUUCUGACACUGAGGCGCGAAAGCCAGGGGAGCGAACGGG
rnacentral:rRNA from 1 species